rnacentral:lncRNA from 1 species
GCGGAGUACAGUCAGUGAGUGUACUCCAUGUGCAAAUAGUGACGUUGUGCUCUAUAUAGUCUUGACUUGAAAUAUAAAUUAAGGUGCAUGUUCAUUAGAAUUAAGUGCGCAACGUUUCGUGCACAUAAAAUUAAACGCGCUCAGAUGCAUGCUUAGUAUAAUUAAGGGCAUGAAAACCAGUGCAUGCUAAUUUAAAUUGAGUGCGCGCGUUGCAAUUUUCUCGCGCGCGAUAAAGCAAAAUGCGGCAAAAAUCUAAAAUAUAGAAAUGCACACAUCACAUCUUUAAAAUGCACCCAAGUGUCCUAAUAGCUUUUACAAACUAUUGUCAAAUAUGUUGGGCCAUUGGAUUCAUUUGCCACGCACCUUGUCCUGAACAUAUCUGAAAUAUUUUCAAGUUUCAAGGUUAAGAUAAAUAUACCCUUACAUGGAACAAUUUGUUAAUAAAAAGAGGCAUAUUUGUCUUGCGCAAUCUGUAGACUGAAUUUUUCGG